rnacentral:rRNA from 1 species
UACCAGCUCUCCGAGUGGUAGGGAUGUUUAUUGGGCUUAAAGCGUCCGUAGCCGGCUUAGCAAGUCUCCUGUUAAAUUCAGCGACCUAAUCGUUGAGCCGCGGGAGAUACUACUAGGCUAGGAGGCGGGAGAGGUCAACGGUACUUCCGGGGUAGGGGUGAAAUCCUAUAAUCCCGGGAGGACCACCAGUGGCGAAGGCUGUUGACAAGAACGCGCUCGACGGUGAGGGACAAAAGCUGGGGGAGCGAACCGGAUUAGAUACCCGGGUAGUCCCAGCUGUAAACGAUGCGAGCUAGGUGUUGGGGUGGCUACGUGCCACUUCAGUGCCGCAGGGAAGCCAUUAAGCUCGCCGCCUGGGGAGUACGGCCGCAAGGCUGAAACUUAAAGGAAUUGGGCGGGGGAGCACCACAAGGCGUGAAGCUUGCGGUUC